GAUUGUAUGGAUUCAGAGGAUGAGCAUAAAGGAAAAGCUCAAGUCCCGAGUUGAUUUCUUCACUUUAAGGGAUGGACGAUCAUUGCACACCUCUUAUUUAUGAGUAGAGUUGAGCUUCGACAAACACUUGUGUAUACACACAUAAGGAAUGAGCUUGAGUAAAGGAAGAACAGGAGGAGCAGGGA